AUCAAUUUCCCUCCAUGGUUUACACUAUACUUUCCCACCCCCAGUAUUUCUAUCUAUAUUCCUUCUCUAAACCUAAACCAUCGGUGUUUGUUCCCACCACAACCACCACCGAACGCGAACCGACCAUCGCACCAACGUGGACUGCCACCACCACCGACUUUCUAUAUCUCUAUGUCCCCUGCAUCACCAUUCCUGACCGUUGAUCACCCUUCACUGCUGUAAUCCGGACCUAGUGCCAUGCCCCAUUUACAAUCUACUAGUCUGCUCCGAUAAUUUCUAGUUAUGAUCUGAUGUCUGUAAGAUGGGUGGUUUUGAUGCUGGUUAUGGCAUAUGGGAGUUCGAAUAAGUCAUGAUUGGUGGGGCCUGAAAAGGACCAUGAGAUGUGGUUUUUCGCUUAGUUCUACACCGCUAAAGAAGAAGAAGAUGAAAAUGUAAGAGUGAUCUAAACAAAAGUUAAUAACUAGAAAUGGAUACUAGAGUUUUAUGUGAUGAAAGCUUGUUCAAAGCAUAAGUUGGGGGCAUUGUUCCUAGCUGAUCUGUAGAAAUUUAAGAUACUAUGUAAAAAAAUAGUGAUUUGAAGAAGUUUCAUUAACUUGUACAA